GCAGGCGGCAGUGUGCGCGUGGUGAGCCCAGUGCGAGUGUGUGAGGCCGUGCGCGCUGUCGCUUCUCCUCAGACCGACCUACCUACUUACCUACUUACUGACCUAACCCUUCCUCUCGCCCUUCUGCGGAUAAGAGUGAGCUUUCAAGGACGAGGUUCUGGUUCGAUGAACUAUAUUUGAACGACAGGUGAUUAAAGAUAAGGAAAGAAACCCGUAUAUUUUUGAUAUGCUUAUAUAACAAGAUGCUUUCCCGGUGCUAAAGCGUUGCGAAGUAAAGGAAAGCUA